rnacentral:rRNA from 1 species
GACGAACGCUGGCGGCGUGCCUAAUACAUGCAAGUCGAACGCUGAAGGAGGAGCUUGCUCUUCUGGAUGAGUUGCGAACGGGUGAGUAACGCGUAGGUAACCUGCCUGGUAGCGGGGGAUAACUAUUGGAAACGAUAGCUAAUACCGCAUAACAGUAGAUGUUGCAUGACAUUUACUUAAAAGGUGCAAUUGCAUCACUACCAGAUGGACCUGCGUUGUAUUAGCUAGUUGGUGGGGUAACGGCUCACCAAGGCGACGAUACAUAGCCGACCUGGGAGGGGGAUCGGCCAAACUGGGACCGGGACACGGCCCAGACUCCUACGGGAGGCAGCAGUAGGGAAUCUUCGGGAAUGGACGGAAGGCUGACCGGGCAACGCCGGGUGAGUGAAGAAGGUUUUCGGAUCGUAAAGCUCUGUUGAAAAGGAAGAACGAGUGUGAGAGUGGAAAGUUCACACUGUGACGGUAUCUUACCAGAAAGGGACGGCUAACUACGUG